GCCGUGGUGGUUCAGUGUGGUAGAAUUCUCACCUUCAUGAGGGAGACCCGGGUUCGAUUCCUGGCCAGUGCU
rnacentral:tRNA from 1 species